UCAAGUUUCUGGUUGGGGGAAAGGGGGGACUCUGUAGUGCUAGCUUGGGUAAACAAUGCUUUCCAACAGAGGUUUCUGGAAGUGCCUCUGGAACUCCGCAAAGGAUUGACUUAAAUUUCAUUAACAAAAUAUAUUUUUUAAAACUGCAAUUAGAAUAAUUUCAGAACUCCAUGUGUUGAAUUUGGCCUCCAUCAAAGAAGAGGUGCAAAUGGUUAACUUGUAGAUUGGUGAAGUCAAUCUUGGGCCAACUUCUGGACUCGUGGUUAUUUGUUGUUGUUAAUUUAAUGUAUAUCCCGAGUCUGAAAAGCAAGCGGUUUUUUAAAAAAUGGUUACCAUUCAGAAUGACUUCUCUGUAGGAUCAGAACUGGUUCACUUUACAGUCAACCCAACUUGGAGGGGGAAAAAUAGGUGCUGCAGAUGGCAUUGUGAAGACCCCGUUUCCCUAGCUGUGCAGUUGCAAGGUCAACUAGACAGAUAAACUCAAGUCGUAAAACAUGCUUCUCCUUGAAAAGUAAGAAAUGAUGUAAUGCGUGUCUCAAUUAAUUUAAUAACGGGCUUUGUUUCUUGCUUUUGUAAUAUGCUUCCCCCCGCAAAGAUCUCCCCCUGCCUCACAAAAUGCUUAAAAGGUAACUUAACUCUUUGUUCAGGGCUCAGUCCUUUGGAUUUUAAUCCGACUGGGCCAGUGCACCUAAAUAAUUAAUAAAUAUCCUCCUGAACCCCA